rnacentral:rRNA from 1 species
GAUGAACGCUAGCGGGAGGCCUAAUACAUGCAAGUCGAGCGGUAGAGUGACUUCGGUUGCUUGAGAGCGGCGCACGGGUGAGUAACGCGUACAUGACCUACCUUUAAGACUGGGAUAGCCCUGGGAAACUGGGAUUAAUACCGGAUGUGAUAAUAGAUAUAAGGAUUUAUUAUUAAAGUUACGGCGCUUAGAGAUGGAUGUGCGUCUGAUUAGCUAGUUGGUAGGGUAACGGCCUACCAAGGCAACGAUCAGUAGGGGCGUGAGAGCGUGACCCCCACACGGGUACUGAGACACGGACCGACUCCUACGGGAGGCAGCAGUAAGGAAUAUUGGUCAAUGGACGAAAGUCUGAACCAGCCAUCCGCGUGCAGGAUGACUGCCCUAUGGGUUGUAAACUGCUUUUAUAUAGGAAUAGCUAUGCGAUUCGUUCGCAAAAUGAAGGUACUAUAUGAAUAAGGAUCGGCUAACUCCGUGCCAGCGGCCGCGGUAAAGUCGUACGAU